rnacentral:rRNA from 1 species
ACGUGAAAUCUUCGGAAAUGUCGUCUGGAGAAGCAAGAUGACACUGCUAGGGCGGGCCAAGUCUUCUGGAACGAAGCGCCAGUGAGGGUGAUAGCCCCGUACAUGCCUGCCCGAAAGGUGUAGUUCUGCUUUCAACGAGUCGAGUUGUUUGGGAUUGCAGCUCUAAGCGGGUGGUAAAUUCCAUCUAAAGCUAAAUAUUGGUGGGAGACCGAUAGCGAACAAGUACCGUGAGGGAAAGAUGCAAAGAACUUUGAAAAGAGAGUGAAAGAGUACCUGAAAUUGCUGAAAAGGAACCGAUGGGAGGCAGUGUUGCCUGCGGCCACUCGUGGCGGCAGCAAGUCAGGCUUCCUUGAGCGCGCGGGAGAGGGGCUCGGACCCGUGUGGGCCGGGCACGCACCGUCGUGCGCUCGAGGGACUCUUGACAAAAUGCCUCUUAUCAUCCCGUCUUGAAACACGGACCAAGGAGUCUAACAUGUGUGCGAGUGCUCGGGGUGCACCCCCCAGCGCGGAAUUAACGUAAAGGCCCGGACUUGUCUGGGCUGAGGUAGGAUGUUUUGGUACAGCACUAUCGACCGACCAUGAUCCCUCGGGUGAAAGGUUUGAGUGUGAGCAUACAUGUUGGGACCCGAAAGAUGGUGAACUAUGCCUGAGUAGGGCGAAGCCAGGGGAAACUCUGGUGGAGGUCCGUAGCGAUUCU